rnacentral:rRNA from 1 species
UAGUCCACACCGUAAACGAUGAAUGCCAGACGUCAGGGGGCUUGCCCUUUGGUGUCACACCUAACGGAUUAAGCAUUCCGCCUGGGAAGUACGGUCGCAAGAUUAAAACUCAAAGGAAUUGACGGGGGACCCGCACAAGCGGUGGAGCAUGUGGUUUAAUUCGAGGCAACGCGAAGAACCUUACCAGGACUUGACAUCCUUAUCGCGCGCACCAGAGAUGGAGCGUUUCAGUUCGGCUGGAUAAGUGACAGGUGCUGCACGGCUGUCGUCAGCUCGUGUCGUGAGAUGUUGGGUUAAGUCCCGCAACGAGCGCAACCCCUAUCCUUAGUUGCCAACACGUUAUGGUGGGAACUCUAAGGAACCGCCGGCGUUAAGCCGGAGGAAGGUGGGGACGACGGUCAAGUCAUCAUGGCCCUUAUGUCCUGGUCUACACACGUGCUACAAUCGGUGGUCGACAAUGGGUCAAACCAUAAAAGCCAUCUCAGUUCGGAUUGUCGGCUGCAACUCGCGGCA